UACAGAGGUCUCAAGCGUUGUUUCGGAUUCAUUGGGCGUAAAGGGUGCGUAGGUGGCGCCGUAAGUCAGGUGUGAAAUCGUCGGGGCUUAACCCCGAAACUGCAUUUGAUACUGCGGUGCUUGAGGACUGGAGAGGAGACUGGAAUUCAUGGUGUAGCAGUGAAAUGCGUAGAGAUCAUGAGGAAGACCAGUGGCGAAGGCGGGUCUCUGGACAGUUCCUGACACUGAGGCACGAAGGCCAGGGGAGCAAACGGG
rnacentral:rRNA from 1 species